GACGAACGCUGGCGGCGUGCCUAAUACAUGCAAGUAGAACGCACAGUUUAUACCGUAGCUUGCUACACCAUAGACUGUGAGUUGCGAACGGGUGAGUAACGCGUAGGUAACCUGCCUGGUAGCGGGGGAUAACUAUUGGAAACGAUAGCUAAUACCGCAUAAUAUUAAUUAUUGCAUGAUAAUUAAUUGAAAGGUGCAAUUGCACCACUACCAGAUGGACCUGCGUUGUAUUAGCUAGUAGGUGAGGUAACGGCUCACCUAGGCGACGAUACAUAGCCGACCUGGGAGGGUGGUCGGCCACACUGGGACUGGGACACGGCCCAGACUCCUACGGGAGGCAGCCGUAGGGGAUCUUCGGCAAUGGACGAAAGUCUGACCGAGCAACGCCGCGUGAGUGAAGAAGGUUUUCGGAUCGUAAAGCUCUGUUGUAAGAGAAGAACGGGUGUGAGAGUGGAAAGUUCACACUGUGACGGUAUCUUACCAGAAAGGGACGGCUAACUACGUG
rnacentral:rRNA from 1 species